rnacentral:lncRNA from 1 species
GAUGUGAAAAUUAACUUGACACACAAAUUAAACCCUAUGGAUGACUGAUGUGAAAAUUAUGUUGACACUCAAAUUAACCCUCUUUUUAUCAAUUGUAGCAAGUAUGUAAGUAGGGAUCGUUCUAGGCCGGGGAUUAAGAGGGAUUGCAAAAUCACUUGGACUUGACUCAAAAACGUAAAAACAAGUUUAAAACACUAACUAGA